rnacentral:rRNA from 1 species
UACAGAGGGGGCAAGCGUUAUUCGGAAUUAUUGGGCGUAAAGGGCGCGUAGGCGGCCUGGCAAGUGGAAGGUGAAAUCCCUCGGCUUAACCGAGGAACUGCCUCCCAAACUGCUUGGCUUGAGACCGGGAGAGGUGAGUGGAAUUCCCAGUGUAGCGGUGAAAUGCGUAGAUAUUGGGAGGAACACCAGUGGCGAAGGCGGCUCACUGGACCGGUACUGACGCUGAUGCGC